GCAUAUCAAUAAGCGGAGGAAAAGAAACCAACAGGGAUUGCCUUAGUAACGGCGAGUGAAGCGGCAACAGCUCAAAUUUGAAAUCUGGCCACCAGGUCCGAGUUGUAAUUUGCAGAGGAAGCUUUGGGCGAGGCGCCUUCCGAGUUCCCUGGAUACGGGACGCCAUAGAGGGUGAGAGCCCCGUACGGUCUGGUGCCGAGCCUCUGUAAAGCUCCUUCGACGAGUCGAGUAGUUUGGGAAUGCUGCUCUAAAUGGGAGGUAAACUCCUUCUAAAGCUAAAUACUGGCCAGAGACCGAUAGCGCACAAGUAGAGUGAUCGAAAGAUGAAAAGCACUUUGAAAAGAGAGUUAAAAAGCACGUGAAAUUGUUGAAAGGGAAGCGCUUGUGACCAGACUUGCGCCUGGCAGCUUAGCCGUCCUUCUGGGCGGUGUACUCUGCCGGCUCAGGCCAGCAUCAGUUUCCGGCAGGGGAGAAAUGCGACGGGAAUGUGGCUCUUCGGAGUGUUAUAGCCUGCUGUUAUGCCCUGCCGGGGACUGAGGUUCGCGCUCUGCACGGAUGCUGGCGUAAUGGUUAUCAGCGACCCGUCUUGAAACACGGACCAAGGAGUCAUCCUCAUAUGCGAGUGUUAGGGUGCAAAACCCCUACGCGAAAUGAAAGUGAACGGAGGUGAGAGCUUCGGCGCAUCAUCGACCGAUCCUGAUGUUCUCGGAUGGAUUUGAGUAUGAGCAUAUGGGGCUGGACCCGAAAGAAGGUGAACUAUGCUUGGAUAGGGUAAAGCCAGAGGAAACUCUGGUGGAGGCUCGCAGCGGUUCUGACGUGCAAAUCGAUCGUCAAAUCUGAGCAUGGGGGCGAAAGACUAAUCGAACCUUCUAGUAGCUGGUUUCCGCCGAA
rnacentral:rRNA from 1 species